GACGAACGCUGGCGGCGUGCUUAACACAUGCAAGUCGAACGAAGUGGCGAACGGGUGAGUAACGCGUAAUCAACCUGCCCUUCAGUGGGGGACAACAGUUGGAAACGACUGCUAAUACCGCAUACUGAAGGCGGGGAUUGCGUCUGAUUAGCUAGUUGGAGGGGUAACGGCCCACAAAGGCGAUGAUCAGUAGCCGGUCUGGGAGGGUGAACGGCCACAAUGGGACUGGGACACGGGCCAGACGCCUACGGGAGGCAACAGUGGGGGAUCAUCCGCAAUGGACGGAAGUCUGACGGAGCAACGCCGCGUGGGUGAUGACGGCCUUCGGGUUGUAAAGCUCUGUUAAUCGGGACGCGGUACCGGAAUAGAAAGCCACGGCUAACUACGUGCCAGCCGCCGCGGUAAUAC
rnacentral:rRNA from 1 species